GAGAGAUCUGAAGUGCUGCUUGAAAUGAUGGAAAGGCACUAGUAAAUGGCUUGUGGGUUGCUCACACUUUUGAAGUGGGCAUGCCUCUUGGUACUGAGUUUAUUUUCCCUCUAAUUGAGAAAUACAAGAUUGGGCAUCUGAAUAGGAUUGGUGCUCAUCUUGCCAACAAUAGUCAGCCACUAGAGAUGCAAAAGCUUCAAUGUUGAGUAAAACUUCAGUUCUUUGAGAUUUACUUCUCAAAUAGAAGUGGGCAAGAGGGUAAUCAAGCUCUUAAGGGUUAUAUAAGAGCAAGCUUUCACAUACACGUUGCUAGUUUAUAUUGAGCAUUAUAAUAUUUACGGUGUAAACUGUUUCAGCCUUUUGUAUUUUGAAUGGUUUUGUAAACACUAAAUUGAAUUUUUUUUCGUGUUAGAGAUAUAUUUUUUGUAUUUAUUAGUGCAAGAUUUUGUGACGUAAUUUUUUUGAAAUAUAUUGUUAGCAUAUUCUCAUUUUU